GCCGUUGCAGGGCCGGCGCUGCGGGGGCGGGACGCGGGGCGGGCAACCGCACGGGGGCCACGCGGGUGGGGGCGCCUCUCCAGCCCCCGGGCCCCCGGGGUGGCCCCGCCCGGUGCUGGCGCAGCUGCACGCCGGCCUCGGCUGAAGGAGAGUCCCCACCAGGCUUCCCGAGAGGCGGCCGACCCCAUCGUCUCUGCCUGGGCCUUUCGCAUUACCGUUGAUUCAGCAAGGAGAACUCGCGGUGUCGCCGCGGGGCUCCCCGAGGCAAUCGCCUACCGGGCACCCCAAGCCUCCCGGGACUACUCGCGGAGGACCAGCACCCACCUCUGCAAGAAGUCACGGAGGGGAACGAACCAAGCUUGGAGGCACUGGGCAGAAGCCAGUGCCCAUGGACAGUUAGCGGAUGUUCGACCAACUGGCCAAUGGGGGCCCCCCAAAGAUAAUGGGCUGCUUUUUUGACUAAGGGAGGCAAAUAAGUAAGACUACUGCGACUCUAAGCGAGCAGAACCACUAAGAGCCCCACACGACGGAGUGAAGGUCUGGGCCACCUCAGCUGGCAAAGAACACUACCAGGUUAGUAAAGAAGGCAUUGUUAUACCCAUUUUGGAGACGAGAACCCAGUUCACAGAGAAGGCACCAGAUUUAAUGAAAGACAGGGAAUGUGAGAUCAGGCACUUCGUUCGAUUUCAUCUUUGCAAGGCCAGCACUAGACAUGACGUGCCCCCCGUUUAUAGAUAUAAGUAAGGAAAACGCAGUACGGUUUAUUGCAAAAACUCUCAGCAGCAACUUGCACAAACACCGGACCUCAGUAACAUUGCUCCAUAAAAAGCCUCGGUGUGCUUAUCACUUUUACAUCUCUCCACUUCCGGAUGCUGCUUCCCCUCGCACUUCCUCUCUGGGCUGCUGGUAGGUCCUCAUCAGUGUGUGCACAUGCUCGUUUCCCCAGACUCUUCCUCUCUGCUGCUUCCUCCCGUUUCCCGUAUCACAUCUCACCUUUACUCUUGUUCUCAGCUCCACUCCCUUCUCUCUCCUCGUUGCCCACACUUUUCCCUUAAACUGAUCACAUACGGAACGCAAACA